CAAUAUGAAGGCCAGCUGAAGACUUUGCCGGAUUAGCUGAGAGGUGGUGCAUGGCCGUCGUCAGUUCGUACUGUGAAGCAUCCUGUUAAGUCAGGCAACGAGCGAGACCCACGCCCACAGUUGCCAGCGUACUCUCCGGAGUGACGGGUACACUGUGGGGACCGCCGCUGCUAAAGCGGAGGAAGGAAUGGGCAACGGUAGGUCAGUAUGCCCCGAAUAUCCCGGGCUACACGCGAGCUACAAUGGUUGGUACAAUGGGUAUCUACCCCGAAAGGGGACGGGAAUCUCCUAAAACCAAUCUUAGUUCGGAUUGAGGGCUGCAACUCGCCCUCAUGAAGCUGGAAUCCGUAGUAAUCGCGUUUCAACAGAACGCGGUGAAUACGUCCCUGCUCCUU
rnacentral:rRNA from 1 species